GUUUGUUUAGUUUUGUUUUGCUUUGUUUUGUUGGGUUUGACUCGUUCGGUCUGGCGAGACCAUCCAGAGCCCGAUAUAAAGGAAUUUAUUACCGAAUGUUACGAGAUUCCCUUUGUGUCUGGCUGCAGUUGCGUCAUGCGUAUACCGCGCACAUGUGACAAAUAAGAGGCAUGCCAGUUACUGACAAUUAUGUUCAUUUUUUUGUGAAGAGUGACUCGCGCAGGCUAGUGAACAGCAAUGCUGGUAAUUGAUUAGCAUGUCGAAGUCGCUAACCGCACAUCAUGCAAGAAAAGAACAGUGUAAAGAAGGCUGCCAAGCUUCUGGCUUAGGCAUGUAAAACACAGUUUUGUUUGUGGACGUUAUUACGAGCUGUGAAAGGUUUGCUGAAACCUGCACCUGUUGCCCUUAUGAUGGCGGAAACAUCAGCCACUUCCCUACUUACCUCUGGUGAUGCGGACAUGUCUCCAGCUGCCGCUGCUGGCCAGCCAGAGUCGGUCACAUCUGACACAUCUGAAGUAAAUGUGUCUUCUUCCAAGACACACAUGACCUCCACAGAUAGAAAGACUGAGAAGUCAGAUAAUGCCACAGAUUCUUCCACAAACGGGCAGUCAAAAACUUCAGACGCUAUCAACAUUGCCACUGCAGAUAGCCAGUCCGAGCCAUCAGAUGCCACGCAUACACCCAGCGAGGGUGAGGCAACUCUCUCCAAACGUCAGCGCAAGCGGCUGGCCAAGCGUGAGGCAUUUUUAGCGCAACGACCUGCCCUACGACGUGCCGAGCGGCAGCGACGGAAGGAAAAACGCGCGGCCGCGGUAGCUGCCGCAAUAGCUGCCGGCGAUGCGCCUCCCAAACGCCCGCGCCUGGCGCCAAUGGCUUCCGGCAGUGGCGUACAGGUGGUGAUUGACCUGUCUUUUGACGAUCUCAUGACCGAACGAGACCUGGGGAAGUGUCUGAAGCAGGUACAACGAUGUUACGCGGCUAACCGUCGCGCUGCGCGACCCGUUCAAUUUCUCCUCACUAGCAUGGAUGGAGAGAGUCGGAGACUCAUGGAUGCCAACGAUGGCUGGCAGAAUUGGGAUGUACGCAUAGAACGUGACCACCUUCUGGAUGUGCUUCCUCAUGAGAAGGUUACCUAUCUCACCAGCGACUCGGAACAUCAGCUGGACAAGCUGGAGCCGGGCAGGGCGUAUGUGAUCGGUGGGCUGGUGGAUCACAACCACCACAAGGGCGAGUGCCUGCGGCGUGCGCGAGAGGCGGGGAUCGCGCACGCGCGAUUACCAAUUGACGACUUUGUGGAGAUGAAGACGAGGAAGGUGCUAACGAUUGACCACGUGUUCAGCAUCCUGCUACUGGUGGCUGGUGGCAGCGGCUGGAGGCAGGCUCUUCAGCAGGUUCUGCCUGCCAGGAAAGGAGCCAUCAUUAAGGGAGAGACUUCUGAUGGAGACUGUUCCACGGAGACGACUGAGUCGGUGGGAGACGGUGGACCGGCGCACGCUAGCAGAGGGGAUUCAGAAGCGGCUGCGACGGCACAUGAUGGCACCGGGAAGGCAGAAGAGGACGCAGGGACGGGAGUCACGUCAGGGCUUGUUGCUGAGUCACAGAAGAAGGUUGAUGCGCCGGGAGCAGAGCCGUCUGCUACGGGAACUCCUCAAGCGGUGAACCCUGAAUCGGUGAACCCUGAACCGGUGUCUAGCAGUGACAUAAGUGUGUGCGGUGGGAAAUCGGAUGCUUCGACCGGUGCAGGGGACGGUGCGAAAUCCGUUGAGGAAUAUGUGACCAACGGCUCGGUGGAAAGUUGACCAGAUGACCCCGUCAUGUCACUGUCAGUGUCGAGGGAAGAGGGUGUAAUGGACAACGUGCACAGGGUGGCAGAGUAAGCUUAUGACGGCAUUACCUUGUCUCGUUUGUUAUUCUUUAACGCGUGAUGGCUCGCUGCUGGAUUUUGGUGACAUGUGAUAGCUUUGUGCGUCGGUGUUUCAAUAAAUGUGUCAUGUCACAUG
rnacentral:misc_RNA from 1 species